UCCAGCCAACAUACACCUGCGGAGUGCCUACUGUAUAACAGGAUCCAGGCGUGUAACCAUGGCAAUGAGGGUACCAUCUCUGCUCCCACAGUGCUUAGAGCCUACCACAGGACAGUGAAAUCCAUGGUACUAAGAAGUGCUACAAUAAAGACCAAAGUGGGAUACAGAACAGCUUACAGGGAAAAACAUCAGUCCCCAACAAAGACUUGGGGUCAGGAAAAUCCUGUGCUGAAGCUGGACUGUUCGUGCUUUCCGUCUACUUCAGACAGCCUUGUCUGCCCCACCCGUUCCUUUGUCAUUCAUCUCCCUAAGCACUGUUUGUGCCACAUCUUCCCUUAAAGCAAACGUGGCAAGAUUAUACAGGGAAGUGACUCGGCUUUGGAGAAACCCGGAGCUACCCACUAAACAGCACUGUGGUUAGAAUUUUCUCCUCCAGGAAACACCUAAAGAAAUGUUCAACAUCUUUAGUCAUAAGGGAAAUGCAAAUCAAAACAACCCUGAGAUUUCACCUCACACCAGUGGGAAUGGCUAAGAUCAAAAACUCAGGUGACAGCAGAUGCUGGCGAGGAUGCGGAGAAAGAGGAACACUCCUCUAUUGUUGGUGGGAUUGCAGACUGGUACAACCAUUCUGGAAAUCAGUCUGGAGGUUCCUCAGAAAAUUGGACAUUGAACUGCCUGAGGAUCCAGCCAUACCUCUCUUGGGCAUAUACCCAAAAGAUGCCCCAACAUAUAAAAAAGACACGUGCUCCACUAUGUUCAUCGCAGCCUUAUUUAUAAUAGCCAGAAGCUGGAAAGAACCCAGAUGCCCUUCAACAGAGGAAUGGAUACAGAAAAUGUGGUACAUCUACACAAUGGAAUAUUACUCAGCUAUCAAAAACAACAGCUUUAUGAAAUUCGUAGGCAAAUGGUUGGAACUGGAAAAUAUCAUCCUGAGUGAGGUAACCCAAUCACAGAAAAACACACAUGGCAUGCACUCAUUGAUAAGUGGCUAUUAGCCCAAAUGCUUGAAUUACCCUAGAUGCCUAGAACAAAUGAAACUCAAGACGGAUGAUCAAAAUGUGAAUGCUUCACUCCUUCUUUAAAAGGGAAACAAGAAUACCCUUGGCAGGGAAUAGAGA